UCCUACGGGAGGCAGCAGUAGGGAAUCUUCCGCAAUGGGCGAAAGCCUGACGGAGCAACGCCGCGUGAGUGAUGAAGGUUUUCGGAUCGUAAAGCUCUGUUGCCAGGGAAGAACGUCUUGUAGAGUAACUGCUACAAGAGUGACGGUACCUGAGAAGAAAGCCCCGGCUAACUACGUGCCAGCAGCCGCGGUAAUACGUAGGGGGCAAGCGUUGUCCGGAAUUAUUGGGCGUAAAGCGCGCGCAGGCGGCUCUUUAAGUCUGGUGUUUAAUCCCGAGGCUCAACUUCGGGUCGCACUGGAAACUGGGGAGCUUGAGUGCAGAAGAGGAGAGUGGAAUUCCACGUGUAGCGGUGAAAUGCGUAGAGAUGUGGAGGAACACCAGUGGCGAAGGCGACUCUCUGGGCUGUAACUGACGCUGAGGCGCGAAAGCGUGGGGAGCAAACAGGAUUAGAUACCC
rnacentral:rRNA from 1 species